AAACAUUUGUGAAAUUGAGUGAAAGAAUGAGAACUUAUUUAUUAACCAUUUUUUAAUUAAAGUGGAUCUUAAAUAUAUGCAAUGAUCUCAAUUUGUAUAGUUUGUGUGUGCUGCCUGUCCUUAGAACUAGGGCAUCAUUAUAAGUUCAACUUAUAAAUUGUGCUGAGUUAUGUGAUUUUAUAGAUUGAACCUGUGCAUUGCUCAUUGUAUGUUAU
rnacentral:misc_RNA from 1 species